GUUAUACUAUUAAAGUGAAAAAAUCUUAGUAAUAAAUAAUAAAACUUUUAUUGUGUGGAAAAAAUUCUUUAGGAGGUGAAAUUUUAAAGAAUUUGUGAAACUCAUUAUUAAAUUUUUAAAAAAGCUUCUAUUAAACUAGGAUUAGAUACCCUAUUAUAAAGAGAGUAAAAAAAUUAGGUAGUAAAAGUUGUCUUGAAACUUAAAGAAUUUGGCGGUGUUUUAAUCUUAUUAGAGGAACUUGUAUUUUAAUUCGAAAAUACACGACAUAUCUUACUAGGUUUUAGUUUGUAUAUCGUCGUAAUAAAUGAAACUUUAAAGUGAACAUUAAUGGUAAUUAUAUUUUGGAUUACAGAUCAAGGUUCAGUUUAUAAUCUAGGUUAAUGUGAGUUACAAUAUUUGAGAAAAUAUUACGGAAAAGGCUUUUAAAAGGUUUUGAAAGGUGGAUCUAAAAGUAUUGAAGAACAAUAAGU
rnacentral:rRNA from 1 species